ncrna:Nicotiana tabacum cultivar TN90 Ntab-TN90_scaffold1406, whole genome shotgun sequence
GCACUUGUGGUCUAGUACUAGAAUAGUAUCCUGCCACGGUACAUACCCGGGUUCAAUUCCCGGCUGGUGCA